rnacentral:lncRNA from 1 species
GCAGUUUUGAAACCCUCUUUCUUUGGAAUCUGCAAGGGGAUAUGUGGACCUCUUUGAAGAUUUCACUGGAAACGGGAUCAUCUUCACAUAAAAACUAAACAGAAGCAUUCUCGGAAACUACUUUGUGAUGUUUGUAUUCAACUCCCAGAGUUGAACUUUCCUUUUGAAAGAGCAGCUAUGAAACACUCUUUUUCGAGAAUCUGCAAGUGGACUUUUGGAGGGCUUUGAGGCCUGUGGUGGAAAAGGAAAUAUCUUCACAUAAAAACUAGAUAGAAGCAUUCUCAGAAACGACUUUGUGAGGAUGGCAUUCAACUCAUGGAGUUGAACAAUCCUAUUGAUAGAGCAGAUUGGAAUCACUCUUUUUGUAGAAUCUGCAAAUGGAGAUUUGGACUGCUUUGAGGCCUACGGUAGUACAGGAAGGAACUUCAUAUAAAAGGCAAACGGAAGCAUUCUCAGAAUAUUCUUUGUGAUGAUGGAGUUUCACUCACAGAGCUGAACAUGCCUUUUGAUGGAGCAGUCUCCAAAUACACUUUUGGUAGAAUCUGCAGGUGGAUAUUUGGACAUCUCUGAGGAUUUCGUUGGAAACGGGAAUAAUUUCCCAUAACUAAACACAAACACUCUGAGAAAGUUCUUCAUGAUGAAUGCAUUUAACUCGCAGAGAUGAACCUGCCUUUGAGAGUUCAGGUUCGAAACACCCUUUCUGUAGAAUCUGCAAGUGGAUAUUUGGACCACUGGCUGGCCUUCGUUCGAAACGGGUAUAUGUUCACGUAAAAACUAAAGAGAAGCAUUCUCAGAAACUU